ensembl:rRNA 5S_rRNA 5S ribosomal RNA
AUCUAAGGCCAUAAGCACCCUGAACGCGCCCUAUCUCAUCUGAUCUCGGAAGCUAAGCAGGGUCGGGCCUGUUAGUACUUCGGUGGGAGACCGCCUGGGAAUACCGGAUGCUGUAGGCU